GAAAUGCGAUAAGUAAUGUGAAUUGCAGAAUUCAGUGAAUCAUCGAAUCUUUGAACGCACCUUGCGCUCCUUGGUAUUCCGAGGAGCAUGCCUGUUUGAGUGUCAUUUAAUUCUCAACCAUGCUGGCUUUGUAAAGGUCAGCUGUGGCUUGGAUUGUGGGGAUACCCGCUGAACUUAA
rnacentral:misc_RNA from 1 species